CCUACGGGAGGCAGCAGUAGGGAAUUUUCGUCAAUGGGCGCAAGCCUGAACGAGCAAUGCCGCGUGAACGAGGAAGGUCUUCGGAUCGUAAAGUUCUGUUGAUGGGGAAAAAGAGCGGAGAGAGGAAAUGGUCUCCGAUUGAUAUUACCCUUCGAGGAAGUCACGGCUAACUCCGUGCCAGCAGCUGCGGUAAUACGUGGGUGGCGAGCGGUAGCCGGAAUGAUUGGGCGAAAGGGUUGCGGAGGCGGCCGGCUAAGUCUGGGGUAAAAGGUACCGGCUCAACCGGUACAGGCUCUGGAAACUGGCGGGCUAGAGAGCAGGAGAGGGAGGUGGAACUCCAUGUGUAGCGGUAAAAUGCGUAGAUAUAUGGAAGAACACCAGUGGCGAAGGCGGCCGCCUGGCCUGUUAUUGACGCUGAGGCACGAAAGCGUGGGGAGCAAAUAGGAUUAGAUACCCUAGUAGUC
rnacentral:rRNA from 1 species